rnacentral:rRNA from 1 species
UACAGAGGUCUCAAGCGUUGUUCGGAUUUACUGGGCGUAAAGCGCACGUAGGCGGAUUGUUAAGUCAGGGGUGAAAUCCCGGAGCUCAACUCCGGAACUGCCUUUGAUACUGGCAAUCUUGAGACUGGAAGAGGUUAGUGGAAUUCCCAGUGUAGAGGUGAAAUUCGUAGAUAUUGGGAAGAACACCAGUGGCGAAGGCGGCUAACUGGUCCAGUACUGACGCUGAGGUGCGAAAGCGUGGGGAGCAAACGGG